rnacentral:rRNA from 1 species
UAGGGAAUCUUCCGCAAUGGGCGAAAGCCUGACGGAGCAACGCCGCGUGAGUGAUGAAGGUCUUCGGAUCGUAAAACUCUGUUAUUAGGGAAGAACAAAUGUGUAAGUAACUAUGCACGUCUUGACGGUACCUAAUCAGAAAGCCACGGCUAACUACGUGCCAGCAGCCGCGGUAAUACGUAGGUGGCAAGCGUUAUCCGGAAUUAUUGGGCGUAAAGCGCGCGUAGGCGGUUUUUUAAGUCAGAUGUGAAAGCCCACGGCUCAACCGUGGAGGGUCCUUGGAAACUGGAAAACUUGAGUGCAGAAGAGGAGAGUGGAAUUCCAUGUGUAGCGGUGAAAUGCGCAGAGAUAUGGAGGAACACCAGUGGCGAAGGCGACUUUCUGGUCUGUAACUGACGCUGAUGUGCGAAAGCGUGGGGAUCAAACAGG